rnacentral:snRNA from 1 species
CGACUCUGGUUUUCUCUUCAUUACGCACCAAGCCUUUCGCCUUUUACUAAAGACUUCCGUGGAGAGGAACACUUUACGAGUUCAACAUAUUUUUGGAAGGGCUUUGCUUCUGGCAGAGCC